rnacentral:rRNA from 1 species
UUGAACGCUGGCGGCAUGCCUUACACAUGCAAGUCGAACGGCAGCACGGGUGCUUGCACCUGGUGGCGAGUGGCGAACGGGUGAGUAAUACAUCGGAACAUGUCCUGUAGUGGGGGAUAGCCCGGCGAAAGCCGGAUUAAUACCGCAUACGAUCUACGGAUGAAAGCGGGGGACCUUCGGGCCUCGCGCUAUAGGGUUGGCCGAUGGCUGAUUAGCUAGUUGGUGGGGUAAAGGCCUACCAAGGCGACGAUCAGUAGCUGGUCUGAGAGGACGACCAGCCACACUGGGACUGAGACACGGCCCAGACUCCUACGGGAGGCAGCAGUGGGGAAUUUUGGACAAUGGGCGAAAGCCUGAUCCAGCAAUGCCGCGUGUGUGAAGAAGGCCUUCGGGUUGUAAAGCACUUUUGUCCGGAAAGAAAUCCUUGGCUCUAAUACAGUCGGGGGAUGACGGUACCGGAAGAAUAAGCACCGGCUAACUACGUGCCAGCAGCCGCGGUAAUACGUAGGGUGCGAGCGUUAAUCGGAAUUACUGGGCGUAAAGCGUGCGCAGGCGGUUUGCUAAGACCGAUGUGAAAUCCCCGGGCUCAACCUGGGAACUGCAUUGGUGACUGGCAGGCUAGAGUAUGGCAGAGGGGGGUAGAAUUCCACGUGUAGCAGUGAAAUGCGUAGAGAUGUGGAGGAAUACCGAUGGCGAAGGCAGCCCCCUGGGCCAAUACUGACGCUCAUGCACGAAAGCGUGGGGAGCAAACAGGAUUAGAUACCCCUGGUAGUCCACGCCCUAAACGAUGUCAACUAGUUGUUGGGGAUUCAUUUCCUUAGUAACGUAGCUAACGCGUGAAGUUGACCGCCUGGGGAGCACGGUCGCAAGAUUAAAACUCAAAGGAAUUGACGGGGACCCGCACAAGCGGUGGAUGAUGUGGAUUAAUUCGAUGCAACGCGAAAAACCUUACCUACCCUUGACAUGGUCGGAAUCCCGCUGAGAGGUGGGAGUGCUCGAAAGAGAACCGGCGCACAGGUGCUGCAUGGCUGUCGUCAGCUCGUGUCGUGAGAUGUUGGGUUAAGUCCCGCAACGAGCGCAACCCUUGUCCUUAGUUGCUACGCAAGAGCACUCUAAGGAGACUGCCGGUGACAAACCGGAGGAAGGUGGGGAUGACGUCAAGUCCUCAUGGCCCUUAUGGGUAGGGCUUCACACGUCAUACAAUGGUCGGAACAGAGGGUUGCCAACCCGCGAGGGGGAGCUAAUCCCAGAAAACCGAUCGUAGUCCGGAUUGCACUCUGCAACUCGAGUGCAUGAAGCUGGAAUCGCUAGUAAUCGCGGAUCAGCAUGCCGCGGUGAAUACGUUCCCGGGUCUUGUACUCACCGCC